CCCCGCAGGCCAGCGCUGUGAGGGAGUGAAGAGGAAAGGUGAGAGGAGAGAUGGAUGAGAGGACCCCGCAGGCCAGCGCUGUGAGGGAGUGAAGAGGAAAGGUGAGAGGAGAGAUGGAGGAGAGGACCCCGCAGGCCAGCGCUGUGAGGGAGUGAAGAGGAAAGGUGAGAGGAGAGAUGGAGGAGAGGACCCCGCAGGCCAGCGCUGUGAGGGAGUGAAGUGGAAAGGUGAGAGGAGAGAUGGAGGAGAGGACCCUGCAGGCCAGCGCUGUGAGGGAGUGAAGAGGAUAGAUGGAGGAGAGGACCCCGCAGGCCAGCGCUGUGAGGGAGUGAAGAGGAGAGAUGGAGGAGAGGACCCUGCAGGCCAGCGCUGUGAGGGAGUGAAGAGGAGAGAUGGAGGAGAGGACCCCGCAGGCCAGCGCUGUGAGGGAGUGAAGAGGAAAGGUGAGAGGAGAGAUGGAGGAGAGGACCCCACAGGCCAGCGCUGUGAGGGAGUGAAGAGGAAAGGUGAGAGGAGAGAUGGAGGAGAGGACCCCGCAGGCCAGCGCUGUGAGGGAGUGAAGAGGAUAGAUGGAGGAGAGGACCCCGCAGGCCAGUGCUGUGAGGGAGUGAAGAGGAUAGAUAGAGGAGAGAUGGAGGAGAGGACCCCGCAGGCCAGCGCUGUGAGGGAGUGAAGAGGAUAGAUGGAGGAGAGGACCCUGCAGGCCAGUGCUGUGAGGGAGUGAAGAGGAUAGAUAGAGGAGAGAUGGAGGAGAGGACCCCGCAGGCCAGCGCUGUGAGGGAGUGAAGAGGAUAUAUGGAGGAGAGAUGGAGGAGUGGACCCCGCAGGCCAGUGCUGUGAGGGAGUGAAGAGGAUAGAUAGAGGAGAGAUGGAGGAGUGGACCCCACAGGCCAGCGCUGUGAGGGAGUGAAGAGGAAAGGUGAGAGGAGAGAUGGAGGAGAGGACCCAGCAGGCCAGCGCUGUGAGGGAGUGAAGAGGAAAGGUGAGAGGAGAGAUGGAGGAGAGGACCCCGCAGGCCAGCGCUGUGAGGGAGUGAAGAGGAAAGGUGAGAGGAGAGAUGGAGGAGAGGACCCCGCAGGCCAGCGCUGUGAGGGAGUGAAGAGGAUAGAUGGAGGAGAGGACCCCGCAGGCCAGUGCUGUGAGGGAGUGAAGAGGAUAGAUAGAGGAGAGAUGGAGGAGAGGACCCCGCAGGCCAGCGCUGUGAGGGAGUGAAGAGGAUAUAUGGAGGAGAGAUGGAGGAGUGGACCCCGCAGGCCAGUGCUGUGAGGGAGUGAAGAGGAAAGGUGAGAGGAGAGAUGGAGGAGAGGACCCUGCAGGCCAGCGCUGUGAGGGAGUGAAGAGGAAAGGUGAGAGGAGAGAUGGAUGAGAGGACCCCGCAGGCCAGCGCUGUGAGGGAGUGAAGAGGAAAGGUGAGAGGAGAGAUGGAUGAGAGGACCCCGCAGGCCAGCGCUGUGAGGGAGUGAAGAGGAAAGGUGAGAGGAGAGAUGGAGGAGAGGACCCCGCAGGCCAGCGCUGUGAGGGAGUGAAGAGGAAAGGUGAGAGGAGAGAUGGAGGAGAGGACCCCGCAGGCCAGCGCUGUGAGGGAGUGAAGAGGAAAGGUGAGAGGAGAGGACCCCGCAGGCCAGCGCUGUGAGGGAGUGAAGAGGAAAGGUGAGAGGAUAGAUGGAGGAGAGGACCCCGCAGGCCAGCGCUGUGAGAGAGUGAAGAGGAAAGGUGAGAGGAUAGAUGGAGGAGAGGACCCCGCAGGCCAGCGCUGUGAGGGAGUGAAGAGGAAAGGUGAGAGGAUAGAUGGAGGAGUGGACCCCGCAGGCCAGUGCUGUGAGGGAGUGAAGAGGAAAGGUGAGAGGAUAGAUGGAGGAGAGGACCCCGCAGGCCAGCGCUGGGUGGUUCUGUAGAGUACAGAGGACGUCUGUCUGUCUACCAUGAGGGUAGGACCACUAGAAGAGACCCUGCGAACCCCACUGUAAUAAAGCACUCCGAUCACACUAGUCCAAAGUUGUUUUCAGGAGCCGAUAGUGUCGACUUCGUCAGCUCAGAGAUUGACCCCAAAAUGGCCGCCGGGUCAGAGCAGUAUCAGCCUGCAGCUGUAAACUGAGUGAAAGUGGCCCCAGCUGCCUCUCUCAUUGUGUGCUGAAUGUGUUGUAUUGCUACAUAUGGGUAGGCACAGUGAACACUGAACAGAAUUCGCCCUUAGGGGCUGGGAACAAGCCUCAUAUUGUAUAGUAUGGCUUAUGAGCAGAAUGUGUGUUUUUCUUUUCUUUUUGACAAAAGGCGGUUAGUAGUGCACAUGAAUGCCAGGGCUGUGUGAAGAUGAACUAUGUGUAAGAGUAGCUCUCUCCGCCAUCUGUCAAAAUAUACCCCCUCCCCUCUCCAACACUGCCCUGAGUGUACAAAACAUUAGGAACACAUUAGGAAUAUUUUGUCGGUGCAUGGACUGUGCAAGGUGUCAGGUGCUCCACAGGGAUGCUGGCCCAUGUUGACUCCCAUUGCGUCCCACAGUUGUCAAGUUGGCUGGAUGUCCAGUGGGUGGUGGACCAUUCUUGAUACACACGGGACACUGUGAAAAACUAAGCAGCGUUACAGUUCUUCACACACUCAAACCGGUGCGCCUGGCACUUAAUACCCUACCCGUUCAAAGGCACUUAACUUUUGUCUUGCCCAUUCACCUUCUGAAUGGCACACAUACCAAUACAUCCCUCACCUCAAGGCAUAAAAAUCCCCUUCAUCAACAUUGAUUGAAGUGGGUUUAACAAGUGAUUAAUAAGGGAUCAUAGCUUUCAUGUCUACAGUAUGUUAUGGAAAGAGCAGGUGUUUACAAUGUUUUGUACACCCGGUGGAAAGCCAGGUGUUAUACCUCAAUCACUCCUGUCCUGUGGUUAAUGUGUUAAUACUAGAGAUAUUCACAAGCGAAGCCCCUCCCUAUCAGGAGGGCUUUUAUUUUGUCUGUCGCUGUAAACAUUCUAAUAUUUGUAGGAUAUUUUUCCAUAUUUGUGAUAUUUGUAACAUGGCUGUUUCCGUGUUGUCCUGUGCUGUAUGCACAUUAACGUUAUAUUGCUGUACAGUAACAUGGUUGCAUUGUUUACAUUACAUGAUGAUGUUAUAAAACUAUACAGACAUUGAUGGACUGUAUAAUAUAUGGACAUGGUCAUUGUUGCUCUAAUGUUGACUGCCUGUAGAGACAUUAAAGUCAAAGCCUAAGGUGAA